rnacentral:lncRNA from 1 species
GUUGGGAUCUCGGAGUUCAAUCAACAAUAAAUAUCAUUUAAUCAAAGAUUCCAAGGCAAAAAUGCAAGAAACAUAAACCGAAAAUACAACCCAUUAAUGGCCGAAAAUCUGGACAACAACUUCUCUUGUUUAUGGUUGAUUUUCAGGCUCAGGAAUAGCUCCCAUGUCAUGCAAAUCACCUUCCAAAGAGAGAGCUAGAAAACCGGCAAAGAACCUCCUUUGAAACUGCCACCACCGCACCCCUCUCUUCUACCAAGUUUUGAGAAACAUCACCUAUACUUAGCCACUAUUUCAGGCCUAAGUUAUCACAAGGGACACUCAAGAAGAAGCUCACAAGAAGGCACUCUCAAAAACACUCACAAUAAGGUGCAAAUGGAGAGAGAAGUCUUGAGGAGAAGAGAGAGGACCGAAUUUUAGAGAGAAAGACUUGUUUUGCCAAAAACGUGAGAAAGCCCUAUUUGGUGGAAAAUAGUCAAAACUUCUCACACAAGCUAAAGUAACAAAAAAUAUCUCACAUAGAAUAAAUCUCAGCCGUCGAUCCCAUCCAAUGGUCCACAAUAUAACUAGACAAGCACAAUCCAUGUGAAUGACAUAAAUAACACUUAAAUCUAAUGGAGUUAAGAGAACCAUAUUCUCACAUUCUUCACCUUGGUUCUCAUAACACUUUCUCUCGGUUGCGAAUUUGCACAUGGAAUAACUGUUCAUCAUCAUCACCCACUACCUUCAAGAAAAAUUAACCAGUGUCAAUAUAUAAUAAAGAUAAGCACAAUUUAAAUUUAACUGCAGGUAGAAUUUUUGUUCCCACAUCAGAGGAAUUUCUAUUAGUGUGAAUUUUAACAAGAUUAACUUCACCUUGAGACAGUUUCUCGCGAAUAAAAUGAUACUUCACCUCAAUAUGUUUAGUUCUUUCAUGAUAAACAGAAUUCUUACAAAGCGAUAAAGCACUUUGACUAUCAGUAAACAUAACAUGUGUAUCAUGUAUGAAGUUCAAUUCUUUUAAAAUUCCUUUUAACCAGGUACAUUCCUUAACCGCCUCGGUUAUGGCAACAUACUUUGCCUCAAUACUUGACAAAGUAACUAAAGGCUGCAACUGUGACUUCCAUGUUAUACAAUUGUCACCAAGUGUAAAAAAGUAAGUUGUGGUAGACUUUCUGUUAUCCUUGUCACGAGCAAAAUCAGAAUCUACAUAUCCCUUUAGAGUAAGUUUUUCAGAUCUUUUUUCAUACACUAGACCCAGAUUUAAUGUACCAACAAUGUACCUUAACAAUCAUUUCAAACCUGUCCAAUGGGGCUUUCCGGGUUGGACAUAAAUCUGCUCAAAAAACUUAUAGCAUAGGCUAAGUCAGGUUUGGUUGUUAUCAUAGAGAACAUAACGGAACCUAUAGCAUUAGAGUAGGGUAUGUUCCUCAUUUCUCUAAAUUCCUCCUCAGUUUUAGGAGAAUGUGCACUAGAAAGAUUCAUGUGAGCUGUUAAGGGAACGUUCACAGAUUUUGAUCCAUUCAUACCAAAUUUAGUUAUGACUUUGUUUAGAUAGGCUUCUUGGAAAACAACUAGUCUAUUUUCAGCUCUAUCUCUCUUCAUAACCAUCCCCAAAAUAUUUUUAGCACUCCCCAAAUCUUUCAUAUCGAAUUCUGAUUUUAAAAGGUUCUUCAUCUUAGUGAUUUCAGUCUUACUUGAACUUGCUAGAAGCAUGUCAUCUACAUAUAGCAACAAGUAGAUCUCACAGCCCUCCUUACUAUCAUUAUAGUAUAGGCAUGCAACAUAUUCACUCCUUUUAAAACCUAUCUUCAAUACAUAGGUAUCGAACCUUAUGUACCACUGUCUAGGGCUUUGUUUAAGCCCAUAGAGAGAUCUUUCUAAUUUGCACACACAGUUUAAUUUACCUUUCACCUCAAAACCUUGAGGCUGACUUAUAUAAAUAUCCUCUUCCAAUUCCCCAUGUAGGAAAGCAGUCUUGACAUCUAGUUGUUCCAGUUCCCAGUUGAACUGAACAACCAAUGCAAAAAUCAGUCUAAUUGUUUUGUACUUUAUCACAAGAGAGAAUAUCUCAUUAUAAUCAACCCCCUCUUUUUGAGUAUACCCCUUCGCCACUAAUGUGGCCUUAUACCUAGGAGGAUCACUAGGAUUAUUUCCUUCUUUCAAUUUGUAAAUCCACUUACAUUGAACUAUCCUAUGAUCCUUAGGUUUGUUAACCAACUUCCAAGUUUUAUUCUCCAUUAAAGAUUCCAUUUCUUCUUGCAUAGCUUUUAGCCAAUUUUCAGAACAUUUUCCAUUAACAGUUUCUUCAUAACUAGCAGGUUCUGUCUGUUCAAGGGCUUCACCUGAAACCAAGACAAAAUCAGUCAAGUUUAGGGAUUCAUAUCUAGGAUUUGGCUUGAUCUGCCUCCUCUCCCGAUCCCUAGUAAGCUAAUAAUCUUGAUUAGGUGGCUGAUCAUUAAAAUGUUCAACUUCAACUGGUUCAAUGUUAUCUUGAAGUUUAGUCACCUCUUCAGGUUCAGGUUCAAUUUCAAUUUCAUUUUCAUGAUGUAUAGGGUCAUUUUCAUCAUUCCCAGGUGUAGGUGAAUUUAGCCUAGUCAGCUUCACCUCAGUCUGAAUACUCUUCUCAGUUUCAGAUUUGUUAGUUUCUUCGAUUUUCUGUUUUAGACAUGGCAUCUCAGAUUCAUUAAAGACUACAUUGCUGCUGUUAAUAAUCUUAAUGCCUUGGACCCCUAAAACCCAUAACCUAUAGCCCUUCACACCCUCGGGAUACCCUAACAUCACACACUUGACAGCCCUCGGCUCAAGUUUCCCUUCAUAUUGGUGUGCAUAUGCAGCACAUCUAAGCACCCUCAAGUGUUCUAGAUUUGGAGGCUCUCCCGUCCACAACUCCUGUGGGGUCUUAAACCCUAUAUUGCUGGACGGAGACCUAUUAAUCAGAUAAGCUGCAGUACUUACAGCUUCAGCCCAAAAGCCUUUCGCAAGGCCAGAGCUAAUCAACAUACACCUAACUUUGUUCAUUAUGGUCCUGUUCAUUCUUUCAGCGACCCCAUUUUGUUCAGGUGUGUAUUUAACAGUUCUGUGUCUUGUUAUACCUUUAUGCUUACAGAAAUUGUCAAAUUCGCUAUUACAGAAUUCAAGCCCAUUAUCAGUUCUUAANNNNNNNNNNNNNNNNNNNNNNNNNNNNNNNNNNNNNNNNNNNNNNNNNNNNNNNNNNNNNNNNNNNNNNNNNNNNNNNNNNNNNNNNNNNNNNNNNNNNNNNNNNNNNNNNNNNNNNNNNNNNNNNNNNNNNNNNNNNNNNNNNNNNNNNNNNNNNNNNNNNNNNNNNNNNNNNNNNNNNNNNNNNNNNNNNNNNNNNNNNNNNNNNNNNNNNNNNNNNNCCUUUAAACCCAAUGUGACCCAUUCUAUUAUGCCAAAGUUUAGUUUUGUCUUUACUCACAAUAAGAAGGCUAGAAUCAACUGGUAUUUCAGUUCUACCCUCAAGAUAGUACAAUCCAUUCCUCUUAGGCCCUUUCAUAACUAUGAGAGAACCCUUCAUAAUUUUCAAAAUCUUGUUACCAGACUUGAAGGUAUAUCCCUCAUCUUCAAGAGAACCUAAGGAAAUGAGGUUCCUCUUUAAAUUAGGGACAUAUCUAACAUUUUUGAGCUGCGUGACGGCCCCAUCGUACAUUCUGAUAGCUAUGUCACCAACUCCAACCACAUUUUGAGAAUUAUUGUCUCCCAUGUAGACCUUCCUAGGUUCAGUCUCUCUAUAGUUAUAGAACUAAGACCUAUCAGGGCACAUAUGGAAAGUGCACCCUGUGUCUAGAAUUCAAUUUUUGUCAAAUUCUUUCUCAGACACAUUCAUGACAUGCAAACUAUCAAAUUCAGAAACAAUAGCAGCAUUAUCAACAUCAGAAUUGUUCGGAUCAUUUUGUUUCCUUUUCCAGUCGAAGCAGUCUUUCUUGAAAUGUCCUAACUUUUCACAGUGAUAACAUUUCUUACCGCUUUUAUCUUUAGAUUUGGAUCUCAUUUUAGAUUUUCCUCUCCCCUUCUUGUUAUGGAAGUUAAAUUCUUUCUUUUCAGGUCUUCCCCUAACAAAUAGACUCUCUUCUCGGGAAUGAGUUCUGUUGUCUCUUUUUAAUUCAAGUUCUCUUGAUUUUAAAGCAUCGAAAACAAUAGCUUGAGUGAGAGUGUCCCUACCAUAUUUUAUGGCAUUUUUCAUUUCUCUGUAAGAUUCGGGCAAAGAGUUUAGCAAUAUGACGGCUAAAUCCUCAUUGUCAAAUUUUUAUCAUUAUGAGCUAGACUCUUAACAAUUAUGCUAAACUCACUCAAACUUCCCUCCACAUCCUUCCCCGGGUCCAUCUUAAAACUAAACAACUUUUCCAAUAGGUAUAUUUUGUUAGGUAAAGUUUUAGUUAAGAACAAGGCAUCUAAAGCAAUCCACAAAGUUCUAGCAGUUUUAGCACUAUCAACUUGUCUUAAAAUGUUGUUAGAUAGAUGCAAAAUUAUAGAACUGUAAGCAAUUUCAUUCAUGUCUUCAAUUUCAGUUGGUUUAGCUUUCAACUCAUCAGAAAAUGUAGCAGGAUCAUCGAGAGCUUUCGCAACUCUCUGUUGGACCAAAAUGACCCUCAUUUUCUGUUUACAUAUCGAGUAAUCCCCCUUUCCAUUGAAUUGCGAUAAUUCGACCCUCGAACCUAUUAUAGAUUUUGUAAAAGAGUGGCCUAUACUCGUGGACAUAACAGAAAGGGUUUUGAAAAUUUCUUUUCCAGAUGAUCAAUAUAAAAAUAUGAAUGCCGAGUUAAAAACAAUUUUUAGAAAUGAAGCACAAUAAUGAAAUAAUCCGUUCACGAAACACAGGUAUAUAAUGCAGGUAAAUAUGCUUUCAGGUUACAAAUUAAUCACAAGAAUUCAAUCAACGGAAUUCACAAAUAGGCAACCAAGCAAUAAUCAUGCAUAAACCGAUAAGAAUAUCAAACCUAACCUAAUAGAAAGUUUGGAAUAAUCUUACCAGACUAUUGUUGAAAAACAGUAAAUAUACCAACAAGUUUCUAAACCGAAUCGCUGUAGACGUCAAGCUAGGGGCAAAAUCGUCCAACUUUUUAUGUAAAACCUGAAAUACUAAAAUAAACACAUUAAUACGUUCAGCAGGUUAAACUAAAAAAUCUGCCCGAAAAAAACCUCGUCGGAGAUCGCCCACGCGCCGCAGUCGAAAAAUUCAUGCGCCACUCCACCAGCACCUCCUCGAUCUGCAGAGCACGUCGGUGGUCUCAGAUUUUCCAAAUUCCUCCUAGUUUGGCGGGAAAUCGCGUUUGAAAGUCUGAUUUUCGCACAUAUUUUGGACAGCCUUUUUCUCCUGUUUUCUGCCUAUUUUUCUGGUCUAUUUUCUGCUGUUUUUAGCCUCAAAACCUCCACAACUUAGCUCCGAUACCAGUUUGUUGGGAUCUCGAAGUUCAAUCAACAAUAAACAUUAUUUAAUCAAAGAUUCUAAGGCAAAAAUGCAAGAAACAUAAACCGAAAAUACAACCCAUUAAUGGCCGAAAAUCUGGACAGCAACUUCUCUUGUUUAUGGUUGAUUUUCAGGCUCACGAACAGCUCCCAUGUCAUGCAAAUCACCUUCCAAAGAGAGAGCUAGAAAACCGGCAAAGAACAUCCUUUGAAACUGCCACCACCGCACCCCUCUCUUCUACCAAGUUUUGAGAAAUAUCACCUAUACUUAGCCACUAUUUCAGGCCUAAGUUAUCACAAUGGACACUCAAGAAGAAGCUCACAAGAAGGCACUCUCAAGAACACUCGCAGUAAGGUGCAAAUGGAGAGAAGUCUUGAGGAGAAGAGAGAGGGCCGAAUUUU